rnacentral:rRNA from 1 species
AUGGAGCGGAUGGCGAACUCCUACUUCAAGGAGAUUUUCACAAAAAAUCCUACCUUGUCAGCAGGGGAAGUGCUUGAGUGUAUAACCCCCAAGGUCACGGAUGAGAUGAACGAGUCACUUUGUAAACCGUAUACUGAAACAGAAAUUUUGGAUGCCCUUUUUCAGAUCGGGCCAUUAAAAGCCCCGGGGUGUGAUGGUUUCCCAGCAAGAUUUUAUCAGCGAAACUGGGCAACCUUAAAGGUGGAUAUUGUGGCGGUAGUGCAGGAUUUUUUCAUCACUGGCAUUAUGCCGGAUGGAGUUAAUGACACGGCGAUCGUACUGAUUCCAAAAGUUCCCCAUCCAGAGGAGUUAAAGGACUUCAGACCGAUUAGUCUGUGUAACGUGGUGUAUAAGGUUGCUUCUAAAUGCAUGGUGAAUAGACUUCGACCUCUCCUGGCUGGACUCGUUUCCGAAAACCAAAGCGCCUUUAUUCCAGGGAGGCUCAUAUCUGACAAUUCCAUCAUUGCAUUCGAGUGUCUUCAUCAUAUCCAGACAGCAAAAAGCAAUUCACCCGCCUUAUGUGCCUAUAAGCUUGAUCUAUCCAAGGCCUAUGAUCGGGUGGAUUGGGAAUUCUUGGAGAAGGCUUUAGCUAAAUGGGGCUUUUCUCAGGUCUGGAUUUUUCGUGUGAUGGCAUGUGUGUCUUCGGUGAAAUAUUCGGCAAAGUUUAAUGGCAAGUUAUUGGAGGCGUUCACCCCCUCCAGGGGGCUCCGCCAAGGUGAUCCGCUGUCCCCCUUUCUCUUCCUUUUUGUAGCUGAUGCUCUUUCUUCUCUCAUAAAGAAAGCUACAAGGGAGGAUGAUCUCCAGGGGGUCAAAAUAAGUAGAAGUGCUCCAGAGAUUUCUCAUCUUCUGUUUGCGGACGAUUCUCUUCUGUUUUUCCUUGCGACAGAGCAGUAG